GAUCGAUGUAAAUUUCGUACCCCGACUCGUUUUUCCACGCUGAUUCCUCCUGUGGCCAAAUCGGAGCCAAAAUCCCGGCCAAACGGCUGGAAUGCACGGCCGAAGCCCAGCGGCGCCGCCGCGCCCUUCUCGGUUUUUGCCUCCGAUGAGGCACUUCCCGGCCUCCGUUUGAUGCAAUUUUUAUAUCACCGUGAUCACCACUCUUUUCUCUACAGGUUGACCAGAGCCGAAUCACCAAAACACGAACCUCGCCGGAGAGCCGCCGCACCCGAGAGCGCCGCCACCGGUAAGCCCCGUUUUUCCGUGAUUUUUUGGCCCCCCGAGGGCCCUAGGGUUGUUUUCUCGCAAGGACCGAUGCGAGUG
rnacentral:lncRNA from 1 species